UUGCUUUGGCAGCACACAUACUAAAAUUGGAACAAUACAGAAAAGAUUAGCAUGGCCCCUGUGCAAGGAUGGCACGCAAAUUCGUGAAGUGUUCCAUAUUUUU
ensembl:snRNA U6 U6 spliceosomal RNA